UGAUAAUUAGUUUAAUCAAAACAAAUGAUUUCGACUCAUUAGAUUGUAAACCAUCUUACAAUUAUCAA
rnacentral:tRNA from 1 species